rnacentral:rRNA from 1 species
AGCGAACGCUGGCGGCAGGCCUAACACAUGCAAGUCGAACGAACCUUUCGGGGUUAGUGGCGGACGGGUGAGUAACACGUGGGAACGUGCCUUUAGGUUCGGAAUAACUCAGGGAAACUUGUGCUAAUACCGAAUGUGCCCUUCGGGGGAAAGAUUAAUCGCCUUUAGAGCGGCCCGCGUCUGAUUAGCUAGUUGGUUGAGGUAAUGGCUCACCAAGGCGACGAUCAGUAGCUGGUCUGAGAGGAUGAUCAGCCACAUUGGGACUGAGACACGGCCCAAACUCCUACGGGAGGCAGCAGUGGGGAAUCUUGCGCAAUGGGCGAAAGCCUGACGCAGCCAUGCCGCGUGAAUGAUGAAGGUCUUAGGAUUGUAAAAUUUUUUCACCGGGGACGAUAAUGACGGUACCCGGAGAAGAAGCCCCGGCUAACUUCGUG